rnacentral:rRNA from 1 species
CCCCUAGAUGUUCUGGGCCGCACGCGCGCUACACUGAACAGUUCAACAAGUCUUAACCUUGGCCGAUAGGUCUGGGUAAUCUUUGAACGCUGUUCGUGAUUGGGAUAGACCUUUGCAAUUAUGGGUCUUCAACGAGGAAUUCCUAGUAAACGCAAGUCAUCAGCUUGCAUUGAUUACGUCCCUGCCCUUUGUACACACCGCCCGUCGCUACUACCGAUUGAAUGGUUUAGUGAGGUCUCCUGAUUGGCGUUUUGCAGCUGGAAACAGCAGUGGGAUGCUGAAAAGUUGAUCAAACUUGAUCAUUUAGAGGAAGUAAAAGUCGUAACA